AAUUUAUUAGUUUAAAUAAAACAUUACAUUUUCAUUGUAAAAAUAAAUUUCUAUUUUAUAAAUUA
rnacentral:tRNA from 1 species